AGCUCCAAUAGCGUAUAUUAAAGUUGUUGUGGUUAAAAAGCUCGUAGUUGGAUCUCAACAGCCUUGAAGCGGUUAACUUUGUAGUUUUACUGCUUUAUAGGCUGUGCUUUUGCUGGAGGUUUAGGGGUGCUCUUGAUCGAGUGUCUCUGGAUGCCAGCAGGUUUACUUUGAAAAAAUUAGAGUGCUCAAAGCAGGCUAAAAUGCCUGAAUAUUCGUGCAUGGAAUAAUAGAAUAGGAUGUCGAUCCUAUUUUGUUGGUUUUCGGGACUCGACAUAAUGAUAAAUAGGGACAGUCGGGGGCAUUUGUAUUCAAACGACAGAGGUGAAAUUCUUGGACCGUUUGAAGACAAACUACUGCGAAAGCAUUUGCCAAGAAUGUUUUCAUUAAUCAAGAACGAAAG
rnacentral:rRNA from 1 species